CGUGGCGUAGUGGUUGAGGCGAUGGAUUUGAAAUCCAAUG
rnacentral:tRNA from 1 species